UGCUGGUUCUUUGUUCUUUCCGUUGCAGUUCUUUGCAAUAGUCUUUCCUACCACCGCCAUCCUCGACUCCUCGCAGCUCCCGACUCCACUGGAACGGAUUAACAGCCGUAACUGGCUAUCUCAGCGUAACAACCAUGUGUGACGCUGCUUUGCAUUCUGUGCGGAGCUGAUAAUACGGUCAAUUAGCAGCUAAGCGCUGAGUGCAUUUGUCAUUUUACACUCUUCGCUUGUUUUCUUGGUGGCGUCGAGAACGUGGACGUCUCUCCCUCCCUGUCCUCUCCCGAUUCCCGCCGCCUGUCUGUUCGGAGUACGGUAACAGCUCUUAUAAAUGUUUCAAUUGCCUGGAACCAGUAGGUCAAUCGUUGUUUCUACGGGCAUUGACUUCAGUGAUUGUGCUCCAGUGGCUAACUCUCAGAUAUUGCUAAUGCGUCGCUGCAAAUUGGGUUUUGAAGGCUCGGAUUCUGCCAUUUUCGCCUCUGAGUGCGCGGACACUAAUGGAGGGGCCAGGAAGCAGUGCGAAGACAGCUGAAGGCAUUGCUUUGUACUCGACUCUGCAUAUUUACGCUGUCUGCUUAAUCCACAGCCUCCAAGCCCGAGUCAUUCAAUAGCACGCUGUUAACUCGUUUUGUCAAUUUACAAAGGUUAGGAUGUUUGUUUUCCAUACGCCGGCUGAAUUGAUUUCAAUUAAAGCUUGAUUGGAGUUUAAUUAAGGAAAAUACCGUGUUUUGUUUUUAUGGGUUUCUGAUUUAUAGCUUGUGAUGAAUCUCUACUCUGUUCAGCAGAGGGUAUUUUCUUUGUUUCUUCUUGGGUAUAAUGCACUGCAGCUCUGAUUAAAGUC